GCGGGGACUAAACCACUACAGAGUACUAUUUUUAUGACAUUCACGAUUGUUCGGAUUUCUUCGACCUAUAAUGCCAUACUCGGAUGACCUAAUCUUAAUGAAUUGAAAGCGAUGGUCUCGACAUACCAUCUACUAGUUUAAUUUUCUACAAGAAAAGGAGUCGAAGAAAUGGGUGGAGACCAACAAUUAGCUCGACACUGCU
rnacentral:lncRNA from 1 species